rnacentral:rRNA from 1 species
UACGUAGGGGGCAAGCGUUGUCCGGAAUCAUUGGGCGUAAAGAGCGUGUAGGCGGUCCGGUAAGUCCGCUGUGAAAGUCAAGGGCUCAACCCUUGAAAGCCGGUGGAUACUGCUGGACUAGAGUCCGGAAGAGGCGAGUGGAAUUCCUGGUGUAGCGGUGAAAUGCGCAGAUAUCAGGAGGAACACCGAUGGCGAAGGCAGCUCGCUGGGACGGUACUGACGCUGAGACGCGAAAGCGUGGGGAGCAAACAGG